CGCUUUGGCGCAAUGGAUAGCGCGUUGGACUUCUAAUUCAAAGGUUGUGGGUUCGAGUCCCACCAGAGUCGA
rnacentral:tRNA from 1 species